UUAAUUAGUGAUCAAAUUACUAAUUAAACCUCUCAUAAAUAUUGAGUCCAAAUCUGAUGGGUAAUCGGGCAUCAGAAUUCAUCGAUAUGUAAUCCUGAUCGAAGAGUCCUAAACCAGUGGGACUCUUGACCUUGGUACCCAAAAUGUGUGGAAUUCAUGAUCAGAGAAUCCUGAUUCUCGAUCACAGAAUCCCAGACAUGAAGGACUCUUCACCAGCUAUCAUAUCAGAUAGGAACUUCUAAUGUGUGUGACCCUGUAGGUUCGAACCUAAGCCGGUAGCACAGGAACCAAUUUCUGUACUAAUCGAAGUGACCAUCUAGCAAUGGUACCCGAUGACCGGAUAGAUCGAAUAGUCACAAUUACAACACUCAGAACCUACGUGAAUAUAGUUACUGUAUAAUUCAUCCUUUUGACCUCUGUGUUUAGGAUGACUCAGGGUUAAACUGUCAACCCUGAUUAGAUCAUCUGAAUCGUGCUCAACUCAAACAGUCCUGUGACUCCUCACAAAGACUACCCUGGCCAAGGUUUUGCUAAAUUGAAACACGACUGUACACAGCUCCUAAACUGGAGUGGUCAAUCCCAU
rnacentral:lncRNA from 1 species